CGCUCGACGAUGGCAGACAAACCGCCAAGAAAUAUUACAUCGUAACUGAAAGUAUAGGAAAUGUAUAGGAAAUAUAUAUAUAUAUAUGUUCUGUAUGCAUUAGAAAAUGUUUUUUUUUUCCGCAACAUUACAAUAUAUUAACCUAUCGGUGAAUAAGACGAUUUUUUUCUCAUCGUUCCGAUAAUCCUCUAAGGCUUUUUUGAGAAGAUUAAUUUUAUAUCCACCGCCGGGAUAAUUCAUGUUGAUACCACCUCUCCAUGGCUCGCCUAGCCCGAGAAUCUUCAAGUUAUCGCGAAGACCGUAGACCUCGACCGACCUCAGGUAUCUUUGGAAGCCAUCCGUCUCGUUGGAUGCGACGAGAAAAAGUCUUGAGACCUAGUUGACGAUGCUGAAAAGCAGAUCAUCCUUAUUCAACAUCGGGGACAAAGUUAUAAAUCGAUUCCGUCAUUGUUAGUCAGCCGAUGAACUCGUUAGCAUCGCGCAUCGAGCUCAUCGUGAUGUCAUGUCGAGAAGUAGCGCCCACGAGGACCGCAGCACGUAUACCGGCUGCAUUUCCACUCCGCUUGUAUUACUGAGCCAUCAAUACACUCUUACGCAAGCUACUCUCGGGAUAUUCUUAGAACGGGCGAUUUCGAACGUCCGUGGAAAUUCGAGGAAAAAUGCCUUUAAGAGCUUUCUAAUGGAAAUGAAAGACGAUUACAAAUAUACAUUUUGUUGAAUAAUUUACGAGAAAAUUGUAUGAAAUCUUGCGGAAAUAUAUAUGUAUGCUA